GCUCAUAUAAAACCAACCAUAUUAGAUAUUGCCAAAAUUCCAUAGCCAAGAGUCAAAGAAUGGAUCUAUCCUUCUCCGUCAGAUUUCUUAUUAUUCUUGCACUUGCAGCUUCCAUCGUGACGGUGCAGACGACUGAGGUUAGCACAGUUGCAGAAAUGAAGAUGAGAAGACUAGGCGGCAAAACCUUGCCAAGCCCACCCCCUCCUCCAGUUCCAAACACGAGGAUGAGUCAUAUUCCGCCUGUGAGACCACCACCUAUGGCUCUCCACGUCUGAGGCUCUAAGCUCAUUACACUGCGUCUUAUAGUUCUCAAGUGCGUUCUUCUGCAAAAGGAAAAAAAAAAAUUACCAUUUUAUUUGAAGUCAUCAAACUCAACUUCAAAUUCUGUAGCCAAUGUGAAAAUAAAUGUAAUCUUGCUUACAAUCCCAACUAGAAGUAUUAAUGUGGUGGUGUUGUUUUUCACAAUUUCACAAUUGGCAACGAGUUUAAACUAUGCCUUAGAAUAGGAAUUUUAUUUUUCCCCAAUGAAAUUUGUACACGUAGUUUCUUGAUAGGAAGAAA